rnacentral:rRNA from 1 species
UACGGGGGGAGCAAGCGUUGUUCGGAUUUACUGGGCGUAAAGGGCGCGUAGGCGGUCAGCACAAGUCAGUUGUGAAAUCUCCGGGCUUAACUCGGAAAGGUCAACUGAUACUGUGCGACUAGAGUGCGGAAGGGGCAACUGGAAUUCUCGGUGUAGCGGUGAAAUGCGUAGAUAUCGAGAGGAACACCGAUGGCGAAGGCAGGUCUCUGGGCUGACACUGACGCUCAUGCACGAAAGCGUGGGGAGCAAACAGG